AUGGAGGAAGCCAAAGCUGCUUUGAAGAGUUUCGUGGUGACAGCCGUGGGCUUAAAAGUGAUAUUUGAUCACUUAGGUCCCUCAGAAGUUCUACAUCGGGUGCAGAAUUUUCAAAAGGAAGGGGUUUGGGAGCGGCAGUCUGAUGGAAAACUGAACCCGAGGACAGGAGCUCUGUUUGCACAGCAGUGUUUUUAUUUUUAUUUGGAUAUUUUGUGGGGAAGAGGGAGCAGUCUUUCCAGCUACUCCAUGGCAUCCAUCAAUGCAAGAACGUGAGUCAGCCAUAAGUAUACAUAUAUACCCACCCUCCUGAGCCUCCCUCCUGCUGGAACCAACACAUUUUAAAAGAAACAUUUCAGAAAAUCCACAGAGAGAAAAUUUAUAUGACUUUUCAGAUCUGGUGAGUAUCAUAAAAUAUUUAUUUCAGGUAUAAUCCAUGGUCAUUUCACUUCAUCUUUCAAAUAUUUAACAUUUUUAAACCUAUUAAUAAAAAAAUUAACUCUUAAGUUUAUGAAGAAUAUUAGGUAUAAGCUUAAAAUGUGGAAGGAAGUACAUAGGUUUUCAAAACCCUUUUAGGAUGGUUGUUGUUGAGUCACUAAAUCACGUCUGACUCUUUGCAACCCCAUGAACUAUAGCAUGGAAUUUGAUCAAAUUUAUGUCCAUUGAGUUAGUAAUACCAUCGAAGCAUCUCACCCUCUGCACCACCCUACCUUCUCCUUCUGCCUUCAGUCUUUCCCAGCAUCAAGGUCUUUUCCAGUGAGUCAGCUCUUCAAAUCAGAUGGCCAAAGCAUUGGAGCUUCAACUUCAGCAUCAGUCCGUCCAAUGAAUAUUCAGGGUUGAUUUCCUUUAAGAUAGACUAGUUUGAUCUCCUUGCAGUCCAAGGGACUCUCAAGAGUCGUCUCCAUAGUUAGAAAGCACUCAGCCUUCUUUGGCACUCAGCCUUCUUUGUGUCCAGCUCUCACAUCCUUAUGACUACUGGAAAAACUAUAGCUUUGACUAGACGGACCUUUGUCGGCAAAGUCAUCUCUGCUUUUUAAUACGCAAUUCAGGUCUGUCACAGCUUUCCCUCCAAGGAGCAAGCGUCCCUUAAUUUCACAGCUGCAGUCACCGUCCACAGCGAUUCUGGAGCCCAAGAAAAUAAAAUCUGUCACUACUUCCACUUUUCCCCCUCUAUCUGCUGUGAAGUUAUGGGACUGGAUGCCAUGAUCUUAUUCUUCCCAAUGUUGAGUUUCAAGCCAGCUUCUCCACUCUCCACUUUCACCCUCAUCAAGAGGCUUUUUACUUCCUCUUCACUUUCUGCCAUUAGAGUGGUAUCAUAUGCAUAUCUGAGAUUGUUGAUAUUUCUCCCAGCUA
rnacentral:lncRNA from 1 species